rnacentral:rRNA from 1 species
CCUACGGGAGGCAGCAGUAGGGAAUAUUGCUCAAUGGGGGAAACCCUGAAGCAGCAACGCCGCGUGGAGGAUGAAGGUUUUCGGAUUGUACACUCCCUUUGUUAGAGAAGUUAAUGACGGUAUCUAACGAAUAAGCACCGGCUAACUCCGGGCCAGCAGCCGCGGUAAUACGGAGGGUGCAAGCGUUACCCGGAAUCACUGGGCGUAAAGAGCGCGUAGGCGGGAUAGCAAGUCAGAUGUGAAAUCCUAUGGCUUAACCAUAGAACUGCAUUUGAAACUGUUAUUCUAGAGUAUGGGGAAGGUAGGUGGAAUUCUUGGUGUAGGGGUAAAAUCCGUAGAGAUCAAGAGGAAUACUCAGUGCGAAGGCGACCUGCUAGAACAUUACUGACGCUGAUGCGCGAAGGCGUGGGGAGCGAACAGGAUUAGAUACCCGGGUAGUC